CCUUCGGGUACAAUUGAGACAGGUGGUGCAUGGUUGUCGUCAGCUCGUGUCGUGAGAUGUUGGGUUAAGUCCCGCAACGAGCGCAACCCUUGUGUUUAGUUGCAAACAGGUCAAGCUGUGCACUCUAGACAGACUGCCGUGGACAACACGGAGGAAGGUGGGGAUGACGUCAAAUCAUCAUGCCCCUUAUGAUCUGGGCUACACACGUGCUACAAUGGCCGGUACAACGGGCAGCGAAGGAGCGAUCCGGAGCGAAUCCUAAAAAGCCGGUCCCAGUUCGGAUUGCAGGCUGAAACUCGCCUACAUGAAGUUGGAGUUGCUAGUAAUCGUGAAUCAGAAUGUCACGGUGAAUACGUUCCCGGGCCUU
rnacentral:rRNA from 1 species